rnacentral:rRNA from 1 species
AUGCCUAUAAAGAGUCAAGGAUGUGCACACACGGAGGAAGGAGGAGGAGUAAGCACAAGUAAGAAGACUUCUUUAGAAUCCAACUCUGACCGAGAAGAUUCUCCACCUCCGAGUGAUGACCUCCCUCGCAUAUUACGCAAGCGCCUACUUCCCCGCGGUUAUCCUUUGCCAUCCAAGUUUGCUGGGGGCAUACGCUUGGUGAAUACAUUUGAGCUCUGCUUUGGAAAGUUGGAUGGCUACAACGAAGAGCACACUAGCAUUAAAUUACUUGCUUUGAGUGUCUGUCGGUCCAUUGUUUCACUCGCUUCUUUCAAGGGAAGAAUUAGACAGUUUACUUGCACAGGCACAAUCAUAGAGCACACGCCACCCAGCAUGAGAAUUCUAACAUCCGCUAGCUUGAUUAGAUCGUCUGAAGAAGAUGGAAGUAAGAUACUUGAUAAACUGAAGAUCAAGGUGCGCCUGCCCAGUGGAAAGCUUGUUAUCGGAACGUUGUGGAAAUAUGAUUCAUAUUAUAAUAUCGCUGUUGUUAACAUCAAGGCUUCUCCAGAACUUCGUGAAGCAUGCAUUCAUAAUCAAGUGCCAGCUAAUGUUAAAUUGUCCCAAAGUAAACUGGUGGCUAUUGGACGAGCCUUUGAAUCCGGAGAGCUUAUGGCCACAGGCGGGACACUGCUGCACGGAACUACCAAAUUUGACUGCCAGCAACUCAUGGCAUCUACUUGUAAGAUCACAAAGGCUGGGAUUGGUGGCCUCAUUGUUGGCUCUGAUGGAAAGUUCAUGGGCAUGAGCUUUUAUUAUAAGGAUGGAGCUCCUUUCUUACCAUUCAGUAUCCUCCAGAAAUGCUUAAAGCACUUCAAUGAAUUUGGGAGAGUUGUGCAGUUAUCGCUUGGUCUGAGGAUUGGAUCACUUCAAGCUGAAAAAUUGCAUGUCCGUGAACAAGUACAUGACAGCUUCCCCAAUGCACAUGGCAUUUACGUACAGAGGGUUUCUGAUAAAUCGCCUGCAGCAGAUUCUGGAAUCAAAGUUGGCGAUGUUAUUACCAAGAUUGAUAAGCUUGAGCUGUUCAAUGCACAAGAGUUCCAUGAGCUGAUUUUGGACAAGCCAGAGUGUAUUUUGCGACAUGGUGAAGAAAUGCCUUUUACGGUAUGUGUCCUAAGGCCAAAUAGUAAUGGUCAUGAGUUCCCUGCAACUAUCAAUGCUGUGAUAGACAGCAACGAGCAAAACAGUUGGCUGGUACCCAAGACAAAGUGGCUAUAUCCAGAUGACAUACGUGAUGCUGAUAAGAUGCCCCUCGUUCGGAAGCGUUUCAAACCUGACUACACAUUUCCCCCCCUUGAUGGAAUGGAUCUACAUACAGAAGAUUCCGAUGAAGAAUGA